GACGAACGCUGGCGGCGUGCUUAACACAUGCAAGUCGAACGGAAAGGCCCUGCUUUUGUGGGGUGCUCGAGUGGCGAACGGGUGAGUAACACGUGAGUAACCUGCCCUUGACUUUGGGAUAACUUCAGGAAACUGGGGCUAAUACCGGAUAGGAGCUCCUGCUGCAUGGUGGGGGUUGGAAAGUUUCGGCGGUUGGGGAUGGACUCGCGGCUUAUCAGCUUGUUGGUGGGGUAGUGGCUUACCAAGGCUUUGACGGGUAGCCGGCCUGAGAGGGUGACCGGCCACAUUGGGACUGAGAUACGGCCCAGACUCCUACGGGAGGCAGCAGUGGGGAAUAUCGCACAAUGGGCGGAAGCCUGAUGCAGCAACGCCGCGUGCGGGAUGACGGCCUUCGGGUUGUAAACCGCUUUCGCCUGUGACGAAGCGUGAGUGACGAUAAUGGGUAAAGAAGCACCGGCUAACUACGUG
rnacentral:rRNA from 1 species